UUACGGCCACAUCACGUUGAAACACCGGUUCCCGUUACGAUCACCGAAGUUAAGCAACGUCGGGCCUGUUCAGUACCUAGAUGGGUGACUGCUAGGAAAUAACAGGUUCUGUAAG